rnacentral:rRNA from 1 species
GGGUUGUGAGGUUAAGCGACUAAGCGUACACGGUGGAUGCCCUGGCAGUCAGAGGCGAUGAAGGACGUGCUAAUCUGCGAUAAGCGUCGGUGAGGUGAUAUGAACCGUUAUAACCGGCGAUUUCCGAAUGGGGAAACCCAGUGUGUUUCGACACACUAUCAUUAACUGAAUCCAUAGGUUAAUGAGGCGAACCGGGGGAACUGAAACAUCUAAGUACCCCGAGGAAAAGAAAUCAACCGAGAUUCCCCCAGUAGCGGCGAGCGAACGGGGAGGAGCCCAGAGCCUGAAUCAGUGUGUGUGUUAGUGGAAGCGUCUGGAAAGGCGUGCGAUACAGGGUGACAGCCCCGUACACAAAAAUGCACAUAUUGUGAGCUCGAUGAGUAGGGCGGGACACGUGGUAUCCUGUCUGAAUAUGGGGGGACCAUCCUCCAAGGCUAAAUACUCCUGACUGACCGAUAGUGAACCAGUACCGUGAGGGAAAGGCGAAAAGAACCCCGGCGAGGGGAGUGAAAAAGAACCUGAAACCGUGUACGUACAAGCAGUGGGAGCCUCUUAAUGGGGUGACUGCGUACCUUUUGUAUAAUGGGUCAGCGACUUAUAUUCUGUAGCAAGGUUAACCGAAUAGGGGAGCCGAAGGGAAACCGAGUCUUAACUGGGCGUUAAGUUGCAGGGUAUAGACCCGAAACCCGGUGAUCUAGCCAUGGGCAGGUUGAAGGUUGGGUAACACUAACUGGAGGACCGAACCGACUAAUGUUGAAAAAUUAGCGGAUGACUUGUGGCUGGGGGUGAAAGGCCAAUCAAACCGGGAGAUAGCUGGUUCUCCCCGAAAGCUAUUUAGGUAGCGCCUCGUGAAUUCAUCUCCGGGGGUAGAGCACUGUUUCGGCAAGGGGGUCAUCCCGACUUACCAACCCGAUGCAAACUGCGAAUACCGGAGAAUGUUAUCACGGGAGACACACGGCGGGUGCUAACGUCCGUCGUGAAGAGGGAAACAACCCAGACCGCCAGCUAAGGUCCCAAAGUCAUGGUUAAGUGGGAAACGAUGUGGGAAGGCCCAGACAGCCAGGAUGUUGGCUUAGAAGCAGCCAUCAUUUAAAGAAAGCGUAAUAGCUCACUGGUCGAGUCGGCCUGCGCGGAAGAUGUAACGGGGCUAAACCAUGCACCGAAGCUGCGGCAGCGAC